rnacentral:rRNA from 1 species
UACGUAGGGUCCGAGCGUUGUCCGGAGUUACUGGGCGUAAAGCGCGCGCAGGCGGCCCGCGAGGUGUCACGUGAAAGCCCCGGGCUCAACUCGGGAGGGUCGUGGCAAACCGGCGGGCUUGAGGCCGGUAGAGGUGGGUGGAACUCCUGGUGGAGUGGUGAAAUGCGUAGAGAUCAGGAAGAACACCCGUGGCGGAAGGCGGCCCACUGGGCCGGUACUGACGCUGAGGCGCGAAGGCGUGGGGAGCGAACGGG